rnacentral:rRNA from 1 species
GGGGCAUCGAGAUAACUCCCAACCCAAUGUGAACCAUACCAAACUGUUGCCUCGGCGGGGUCACGCCCCGGGUGCGUCGCAGCCCCGGAACCAGGCGCCCGCCGGAGGGACCAACCAAACUCUUUUCUGUAGUCCCCUCGCGGACGUUAUUUCUUACAGCUCUGAGCAAAAAUUCAAAAUGAAUCAAAACUUUCAACAACGGAUCUCUUGGUUCUGGCAUCGAUGAAGAACGCAGCGAAAUGCGAUAAGUAAUGUGAAUUGCAGAAUUCAGUGAAUCAUCGAAUCUUUGAACGCACAUUGCGCCCGCCAGUAUUCUGGCGGGCAUGCCUGUCCGAGCGUCAUUUCAACCCUCGAACCCCUCCGGGGGGUCGGCGUUGGGGACCUCGGGAGCCCCUAAGACGGGAUCCCGGCCCCGAAAUACAGUGGCGGUCUCGCCGCAGCCUCUCCUGCGCAGUAGUUUGCACAACUCGCACCGGGAGCGCGGCGCGUCCACGUCCGUAAAACACCCAACUUCUGAAAUGUUGACCUCGGAUCAGGUAGGAAUACCCGCUGAACUUAAGCAUAUCAAUAAGCCGGAGGAA